CAGGUAGGACUACCCGCUGAACUUAAGCAUAUCAUAGGGGGGGAGG
rnacentral:rRNA from 1 species